AUGACAACCUCGCUUCCCUCCCCUCCUCUCUUCUCCCUUCCCCCCAGUGGAGAACUGGGGACCGGAGGGCCUGGCCUCCCCCCAUCUUCUCUAGUUCUUAGGGAAAGAGGGAUUCCCGCCUCCUGCAAGCCCCCUCUCUCCACCCGCGCCGCCUCUCCCGCCAGGCUCCCCACUCCUAUACUAGGGAGUCACAGCGCCCCCGGGCUCUCCUUCGCCCGCGCGGUACGGGGAGGUGGCGCGCUGCGGCGGUCCCGCGCUCCGGCCAGAAUCAGGGCAGGCUGUGUCUCCCGCCCCCAGCUCCCUCCCGGUGGGGGGGGGGGGGCGUGCGGCCGGUCAGGGGGCGUGGGCGGCAGUGUGAGCCGGGCUGGGUGCGGGAGGGGCCCCGGCGGCUGGAGGGAGGGUCGCGGGGCGGCGGGCCAAGCCGGGAAGAGCCAUACAAGGAGCGGAUCCGGUGACGCGCCGGCCGCGCCCCUUCUCCUUCUCUAUUUGGCUUCAGAUUCCGGUCCCAAGAUUUGCAUAUUUUGGCAUCCAGUGGAAAAGGAAAGAAGAACGGAACCCGCAGCCUUUAAAGGAACCGCACAGGCUGAUCUCUCCCCAGGAGGGGCUGCAGAUUAAGGAGCUAGAAGUCCUCAUCCUGUUCGAUUGGGGCCUGCGUCGGGAAAGGCAGAGGCAGUGGAAGCGUUUGGGCUCCUUAAGCUUCCAGGGCCACAGAGGCGGUGGAGUGCAGCCACUCCCAUCUGGAGGAGACGGCCCACUCCCACCUGGAGGAGACGGCCCCCUCCCCUGACCCUUUUCAGCUCGCUGGACCUGUUGCUCCCAAGGAGAAGAGCAUGGGGCAAAGUUUGCCAACCUGCGCCAGGGCCUGCUUACCGGGCAGCAAGAUUGGAUAGGAGUCUGGAGACAUGAUUCCUCCCCUCUCCUUUCUACUAGUUCUUUGCAUAAAACGGGAGCCUUCAGUUCAAUUAAAUAGUCUUCAUUAAAGCUUCAUUGUGACCUUGGGCAAACGUCUGUAUUUUUUUCUUAGCCUCAGUUUCCUCAUCUGUAAAUUGGGAUAAUAACAGUAUAUACCCUUUAGGAAGAAUUAAAUUUGAUAAUCCUCAUAGAGUACUUUCCAGUUCCUUAAGAAAGCACCCAAUAAACAGCAGUUAUUGUUAAACUAUUCUUCCUCA
rnacentral:lncRNA from 13 species